rnacentral:rRNA from 1 species
UGUGCAGGCGGUGCCACAAGUGGUGUAUGAAAGUGCCCGGCUCAACCGGGAGAGGUUAUGCCAGACUGUGGCUCUAGAGUGCGAGAGAGGGGCGUGGAAUUCCGGGUGUAGUGGUGAAAUGCGUAGAGAUCCGGAGGAACCCCAGAGGCGAAGGCGGCGCCCUGGCUCGCAACUGACGCUCAGCCACGACAGCAUGGGGAGCGAACAGGAUUAGAAACCCCGGUAGUCCAUGCCGUAAACGAUGCAAACUAGGCGCUGGCGGUCUCAACCCCGCCGGUGCCGUAGCUAACGCGCUAAGUUUGCCGCCUGGGGAGUACGGCCGCAAGGCUAAA